GAUGAACGCUAGCGGCAGGCCUAAUACAUGCAAGUCAAGGGGUAGCAAUACACCGGCGGACGGGUGCGUAACGCGUACACAACAUACCUUUAAGCGGGGGAUAGCAUCGGGAAACUGGUGGUAAUACCCCAUAGUAUUGCGAUCCGGCAUUGGGUUGCAAUUAAAGUUCCGGCGCUUAGAGAUUGGUGUGCGUCUGAUUAGCUAGUUGGCGGGGUAACGGCCCACCAAGGCGACGAUCAGUAGGGGGGUGUGAGAGCAUGACCCCCCACAUGGUACGUGAGACACGGACCCGAACCUACCUUACCGGG
rnacentral:rRNA from 1 species